UGCGAUUAGCUCCAGUAUCUA
rnacentral:misc_RNA from 1 species